GUAACCGAUGUGUGUUAGACGUUGGAAAUUUAUUUUCAGUGUCGCAGCGAAAGCGAUAAACACACCGCCUGGGGAGUACGACCGCAAGGUUAAAACUCAAAUGAAUUGACGGGGACCCGCACAAGUAGUGGAGCAUGUGGUUUAAUUCGAAGAUACGCGCAGAACCUUACCAACACUUGACAUGUUCGUCGCGACUCUAAGAGAUUAGAGUUUUCGGUUCGGCCGGGCGAAACACAGGUGCUGCAUGGCUGUCGUCAGCUCGUGUCGUGAGAUGUUGGGUUAAGUCCCGCAACGAGCGCAACCCUCACUUUUAGUUGCCAUCAUUU
rnacentral:rRNA from 1 species